rnacentral:rRNA from 1 species
CCCUCAGUAACGGCGAGUGAAGCGGGACUAGCUCAGGAUGUGAAUCUGCGCUUUUAUGGCGCCGAAUUGUGGUCUGUAGACUUUGACAUUAUUUGCCGGGCCAAGUUCCUUGGAAAAGGACAGCUGAGAGGGUGACACUCCCGUCCGCCUGGCAGAGUGAGUCAUUUGUCAACGAGUCGAGUUGUUUGGGAUUGCAGCUCUAAUUUGGUGGUAAAUUCCAUCUAAAGCUAAAUAUUGGUGGGAGACCGAUAGCGUACAAGUACCGUGAGGGAAAGAUGCAAAGAACUUUGAAAAGAGAGUUAAAGAGUACCUGAAACUGCUGAAACGGAAGCGAAGGAAACCAGUGUUUGUUUGUUCAUAUUUCCCUAGCCACUUGUGGCUUGGGCGCUGUGGGCUUGCGUGAGUUUGGGUUGGUUGAUUCCUUUGGAAGAGCGCAGUCAGAGUUGAUGUCUGUUGCUAGCACUGGAUUUGACUGAUGCAGACGAAAUGGUUUUCUUUACCCCGUCUUGAAACACGGACCAAGGAGUCUAACAUAUGUGCGAGUACAGGGGUGUCAAACCCCCGUGCGCAAUGAAAGUGACAGUGGUUGGAAUUUUUGCACAAUCCGCCGGCCUCAAUCCUUCGGGAGAACGGUCUGAGUGUGAGCAUACAUGUUGGGACCCGAAAGAUGGUGAACUAUGCCUGAAUAGGGUGAAGCC